AACACCAACACCAUCAACAUCUCCACCAUCCCCAACCCCUUGUGGUUCUUGAGGACAUCUCGUCUAAUAGAAACAACGGAAAUGCGAGCCCUGAAAGACCAUGGCAGUCCAAAUCAGAGUGAUCGAAAGAGGUUGCGAUGACCAUAUUAGUCUAAAACAUUCAAAGUAGAUAUCAGUUUUGUUGCUAAAAUACCCAUGCAAGCUAUUGCAAAUGCAUUUCGGGUAUAGGAGUUAAAGAACUCUCAAGAAGCGAUUAGGGUACUGGAUAUUGUAUUGCAUCAGCAUGCAGCUAAACAGGGCUGCCUCCUUGUUCGCCAAAACUUUUGUCAUAAUGAUCCAAGGAAUUUCGCAGAUGUUGGGAGUGGUGUUCUGGGCUGUAGAGGGUUUCAUUCAAGUUUUAGAACCACUCAGGGCAGUUUGUCUCUGAAUAUUAGUAGCGAUGUUCAACUACUGUGCUAUGAUGUUGCUUUUCCAUUGUUUUUGUUAGACGCUGCAUCAAUCAACUUCAACAAUGCAAAAAAAUCAUGAAAUGAACGCAAGGCAAAAGGUUGGCUUCUUAUUUGUUGGCAUUGUAGCGAUUUUGCAAACUGGUGUUGUUGGGUUCUUAGUUUUCAAGAGAAGGCAGCUUUUGAGGAUCAAAGAAAGAUAUGAAACUUGCUCUUCUGAUCCUCUAGAGGAGCUUUGAAUAAAAUUGAAGAUUCUUUA